rnacentral:miRNA from 12 species
GUAAAGAAUGAAGAGGAUGGAGCCAGGCUUUCCUCAGUGGUAUCCAGUGUCAAGGUCAAGGGGCAAUGGGCACAAACUGAAACACAGGAGGUUCCCUCUGAACAUCAGGAAG